rnacentral:rRNA from 1 species
AGUGAACGCUGGCGGUAGACCUAACACAUGCAAGUCGAACGGCAGCACAGUAAGAGCUUGCUCUUACGGGUGGCGAGUGGCGGACGGGUGAGGAAUACAUCGGAAUCUACUUUUUCGUGGGGGAUAACGUAGGGAAACUUACGCUAAUACCGCAUACGACCUACGGGUGAAAGCAGGGGAUCUUCGGACCUUGCGCGAUUGAAUGAGCCGAUGUCGGAUUAGCUAGUUGGCGGGGUAAAGGCCCACCAAGGCGACGAUCCGUAGCUGGUCUGAGGGGAUGAUCAGCCACACUGGAACUGAGACACGGUCCAGACUCCUACGGGAGGCAGCAGUGGGGAAUAUUGGACAAUGGGCGCAAGCCUGAUCCAGCCAUACCGCGUGGGUGAAGAAGGCCUUCGGGUUGUAAAGCCCUUUUGUUGGGAAAGAAAAGCAGCAGGUUAAUACCCCGCUGUUCUGACGGUACCCAAAGAAUAAGCACCGGCUAACUUCGUG